ensembl:snRNA U4 U4 spliceosomal RNA
AACUUUGCGCAGUGACAGUAUCAUAGCCAAUGACGUUUAUCCGAGGCGCGAUUGUUGCUAAUUGAAAAAAUAAUAUCUUUAAAGCUCUAUAAGUUAAAUUAUUGGGUUGUUGGAGAAGUCAUGAGGAUUUUUGCACAGCAAAA